rnacentral:rRNA from 1 species
AGUGAACGCUGGCGGUAGGCCUAACACAUGCAAGUCGAACGGCAGCACAGUAAGAGCUUGCUCUUACGGGUGGCGAGUGGCGGACGGGUGAGGAAUACAUCGGAAUCUACUUUUUCGUGGGGGAUAACGUAGGGAAACUUACGCUAAUACCGCAUACGACCUACGGGUGAAAGCAGGGGAUCUUCGGACCUUGCGCGAUUGAAUGAGCCGAUGUCGGAUUAGCUAGUUGGCGGGGUAAAGGCCCACCAAGGCGACGAUCCGUAGCUGGUCUGAGAGGAUGAUCAGCCACACUGGAACUGAGACACGGUCCAGACUCCUACGGGAGGCAGCAGUGGGGAAUAUUGGACAAUGGGAGCAAGCCUGAUCCAGCCAUACCGCGUGGGUGAAGAAGGCCUUCGGGCUGUAAAGCCCUUUUGUUGGGAAAGAAAAGCAGCAGGUUAAUACCCCACUGUUCUGACGGUACCCAAAGAAUAAGCACCGGCUAACUUCGUG